rnacentral:rRNA from 1 species
AGCGGAGGAAAAGAAACUAAACAAGGAUGCGCUUAGUAACGGCGAGCGAACCGCGCAAAGCCCAACUUGAAAAUCUCCCUCGGAGAAUUGUAGUCUAUAGAAGUACCCUCUGCAACGGGCUGAGCUAAAGUCUCCUGGAAAGGGGCGUCAGAGAGGGUGAGAACCCCGUAAGCUCAUGCUUAGUUGCCUCACGAGGUGCUUUCGAAGAGUCGGGUUGCUUGGGAAUGCAGCCCAAAUUUGGUGGUAAAUCCCAUCUAAGGCUAAAUACUGGCGAGAGACCGAUAGCGAACAAGUACCGUGAGGGAAAGAUGAAAAGAACUUUGAAAAGAGAGUUAAAUAGUGCUUGAAAUUGUUGAGGGGGAAGCGUUUGAAUGCUCGAGUGCGCUCAGGCUUAUGGGUCCUUAACGGGGCUCUGUAUGUGCUGAGCGCUGGCCAGCAUGGGUUAGGCUAGUGGGACAAAAGCGUGGGUUGAUACCAUGCCGCUGCCACUGGCUUGACCAAGGCGUGAAGACUGCCCUUGUCCUUCGGGAACUGCAGUCUCAAGAUGCUGGUGAAAGGCUUUCAACCGACCCGUCUUGAAACACGGACCAAGGAGUCUAACAUGUAUGCGAGUUGGUGGGUGGAAAACCCAUGAAGCGUAAGGAAACUGACUGGUGGGAUGGCCUGUGCCUGCACCAUCGACCGACCAUGCGUUUCUGCAAAAGGUUUGAGUGCGAGCAUACCUGUUGGGACCCGAAAGAUGGUGAACUAUGCAAGCGUAAGGAAACUGACUGGUGGGAUGGCCUGUGCCUGCACCAUCGACCGACCAUGCGUUUCUGCAAAAGGUUUGAGUGCGAGCAUACCUGUUGGGACCCGAAAGAUGGUGAACUAUGCCUGAGCAGGGUGAAGCCAGGUGAAAACCUGGUGGAGGCUCGUAGAUGUGCUGACGUGCAAAUCGCUUUUCGGACUUGGGUAUAGGGGCGAAAGACUAAUCGAACCUUCUAGUA